GCCCUGUGUGCCAUUUCCCAUGCGCAACCUCUACGCCAGCGUGUGCACGUGUGCACAGCCACACACAGCAGCAGAUAGAUACAGUAGAUUUCAUGAAGCUGGAAGCCAUGAAGGAAGCCUGACCAAAGAUUGUGGCAGCGCAGGAAGGAAGUGGAGCACACCCCUGGAUAUGAACAGGAAGCAGCCAGGAAAGAGGACUCUGACAGGACACACACACUCAGAGAGUUAUGGCUCCAGCUUGAACACUGACCAAGCAAAGAAGACAAAAAAGGCACACGCUACCAAGAGGGGCCGUGUCCAAAGCAACUGCGUGGGCCAUCUGCCAAAGAAACUACUCCUAAUCCAACCUUUCUUACUCCCACACUUCGAUGUCUAUUCAGCACUUCAAAAUCUGCACUGUUUGUAUUUUAGUUUUGUAUCUCAGUCAUCAAAGUAACUUUUCCCUUCCACACAUAGACUAUGGACACUCAUAAGGAUGAAUCUGCAACUAUGAAACAAAUUUACAUAAAGGCUGAGCAGGAAUAGGUCACACUGCUCAGUGCUUCUGCUGGGCAGCUCUACUAUUUGUUUUGUUUCUGAUCCUUCUCUCUUCCUUUUUCCAUGUUCCUUGGCUCCAUCAGAUUAGUAUCCAGUUUGUUUUUAUGACUCAGGAUGCUGCACCAUGCUUGUGUAUGUUUUACUACCCCAAAUGUGUGUGUGUGUGUGUGUGUGUGUGUGUGUGUGUGUGUGUGUGUGUGUGUGUGUGUGUGUGUGUGUGUGUGUGUGUGUGUGUGUGUGUGUGUGUGUGUGUGUGUGUCAAGAGGAAACAUAAACUGGAGGACGUAUCGGUCGAGGCCAGAGCAGAGUGUCACACAGGAGUGUCAGAGUGCAGGUUACAUAAUACUGAGGGGCAUUAAGGAGAGGCAGGAGGGGGUCACAUGACCCUCACAGGGUUUCACUUUAGGUCAUUUACUCUGGUAAUACAGCUUAUGGUGUCUCCUGCGAGUAUUUAGGUUUCCAAGACACCCUAUCCGCUCGCUGUAAUGUGUGCUAAACAAAUAAAGUUGCCUGUUACCACUGUGCCAUAGGUUAACUCUCUAGUGCCUGGAAAGAAUGUUUUAAAAUAAAUAAAGUAAAAUCAAAGUUCUUUUUUUUAAUCCAAGCAAAGAUCAGAAAUAUACGUUUUUAAGUAAGUUAAGUGCACACAAACAGUGGCUUCGAUUUAUUAUAUUAGCAUGUAACUCUUAAGACUUCAAUAAGCUGAAAGGUGUCACUGAUGAGAAAAACAUCACUGGAGUACUAAUUAGAACUAAUGUAGAGGAAGCCCAACAUUUUAAGAGGCACACAAUAGCAGUUU
ensembl:lncRNA